GGAGGGUGCAAGCGUUGUUCGGAGUUAUUGGGCGUAAAGGGCGUGUAGGCGGCUUGAGAAGUCUGGUUUGAAAUGCACUGGCUCAACUGGUGCGCUGGGUCAGAAACUGGCAGGCUUGAGUUCAUGGGGAGGAGCUGGAAUUCCAGGUGUAGGGGUGAAAUCUGUAGAGAUCUGGAAGAACACCGGUAGCGAAGGCGGGCUCCUAUGGAUGGACUGACGCUGAGGCGCGAAAGCGUGGGGAGCAAACAGGAUUAGAUACCCUGGUAGUCCACGCUGUAAACGAUGUGCACUAGGUAUGGGGUACGAGAUGUAUUCCGUGUCGGAGCGAACGCGUUAAGUGCACCGCCUGGGGAGUAUGCUCGCAAGGGUG
rnacentral:rRNA from 1 species